UACAGAGGGUGCGAGCGUUGUUCGGAAUUAUUGGGCGUAAAGGGCGCGUAGGCGGUGCGGUAAGUCACCUGUGAAAUCUCCUGGCUCAACUGGGAGCUUGCAGGCGAAACUGCCGUGCUGGAGUGUGGGAGAGGUAAGCGGAAUUCCUGGUGUAGCGGUGAAAUGCGUAGAUAUCAGGAGGAACACCUGUGGUGUAGACAGCUUACUGGACCACUUCUGACGCUGAGACACGAAAGCGUGGGUAGCAAACAGG
rnacentral:rRNA from 1 species